GUAAAGUGGACUGGUCGUAUCACGCCCUUACAGGGGGAAGCCGGUGCGAAUCCGGCACUGACCCGCAGCCGUGAGCCGUCGGCGCGCGCCGUGUCCGUGACCCCGCAGGUCACCUCCGUACGCGCCGGGCAGAGUCGGAAUGCCCUGUACGCGGACGUGACCGGC
rnacentral:ncRNA from 1 species